AUACACACUGGCUAGCUUGUUUGAAAGAACCAAAGCUAACCUCCAACAAUAACCUGACUUCACUGCUUGUCUUGGGGUUUGGUAUACAUGGGAUCAGAUUCUUCAGACAAGUCUGGAAGGUAAACCCUUGUGUAGAAUUAUAUAUCACAUUCCUCUCUCUAAUUUCGACCCUAGAUUAGUUAGAAAUUAAAAAAAAAAUAAAAAAUAAUAAUAAUAAUAAUAAAAUAAUAUCUAUUGUUUACUUAGGAUGAGUCUGAACAGGACUUGGUGGCUAAAACCAUUAAGGCUUAAUUCAUAAAGACUCCAAUAAAGAGUUCGAAACGAGGCUUGGAGGCGGCAAUCUUCAAGGCUCGCUUUCACAAAGAAUUCUUGGAUAUAAGUCAAAAAGAAGUGAACAGAGCUUGGUGGCAACCACCAUUUAGUUUUGAUUCAUGGAAGCCUGUCCAAUCUUGGUCACUGAUCCUGCAAUGGAAGCAGACUUUGACUCAAGAGAGAAAAUCAGAGAGAGGGAAAUUAUGAACUAACUUUUACCUGCAGUUCCAGAUACUUGUCUGAA
rnacentral:lncRNA from 1 species